ensembl:lncRNA
GAAAGAGAUGUGUACCUCUCGGGCUGCUGCGCUGUGAUCGUUGCUGCGGUGUGGAGGCUUCCUAAGCCAAGUGCCUUGGAGGAGCAGCUAAAAGGUACCCAGAUCCAGCUAUUAAGGGAGCUCCAAAAUUAUGUAAGGCCUGGCCAUUUUGUUUGUUUUUACCCUAAGAUUUUUACCACCCACACACAACCCACCAGUUAAUGAAAAUGUGUUAGUGGUUAAUACUCUGUUUGAUUUAUUGGUGGGGUCUUUCUUUUUUUGUUUUAGUGGUUUUUCACGGGUUAGAAAGGAUGCACAAAUGCCAUUUUUUGAAGUUUCUAUUGUCAGAGUUUUGGUUGCAAAACAUGUAAAUUCUCUUGAAAAGAAAUGUACUGAUAAUCCCAAUGUAAGCCUGAUACACAACAUGUUUGAAAUGUUUAAAAUAUCAUUAAAUAAUGUCUGAGGUACAGGGAAACAAACACUCACUUAAUGGAGCUGACUGACCUCUGACCUCUGUUCUGACUUUCUUGUGAGGCCUGAUCACCCUCACGAUUAAGACUAGAGACAUUGGGUGAGAUUUAGAUGGGCUAUGUAAACACUAAUAAUUAGAAAAUGUUUAUAAUUGAUCAUUAGUCCAAUGUGUGAUUCGCCCCACGAGAAGGACAUAGAGAGCGCUGCCCCUGAAUGAGGGACACCCGUCUCUAGUCUAUUUUACCAUUACCUUACGGGAUACAAUUAUUUCCUUAUGGAUUCAUCAAGAGAUGUAAUUCUAAUUUGUUUAUACUUGAUUUAACAGGCAGUGUUGUUUUUUUGGACAUAUGAAUCACGAUGUGUGUCAUGCGUCCAAAGGGGGGAAUUACCAGUCCCUUGUGGCUUUUUGGUAAAUAUGCAAAUAGAUUUUCUUCACAUGCCUGCCUGUAAAAGGAAAAAAAUAUAUGUUGGUAAUGGUUGACAGUUACUCCAACUGUAUAGAAUUUUUCCCCACAUCAAGUGAUACGUGUAUUGUUGUUGUUGUUUUCUUCCUUUUCUUUGUUUUUGUCUUGCUUCAAUAACAAAUCUCACCAGAUUGGGUCUGCCGGAUGGUCGGGAUUUCUCCCUAAGGAUUUGCCCUCUAACUCCUUGACCUGUAACUCUGCAGUGAGAUCGCCAAGAUGAUAGGGGAGCAUAAGCCAUUUGUUUUUUAAAAUUAUGGUUUCAACUGUGUGUCCUUAUUUUCUUUGACAUUUGAAAUCUGUAUUAAGAAUCAGGUAGUAGUAAUCAUUUGUUGUACAGUAAAUAAUUUGUCUGGAUUUUCUGAAUCAGAAAUGUCCUAAACUAAACUGUUGUUCUGGUCUGUCCUCUCUCGUGGUUAUGGCGAAGGUGACCACAGAUAGUAUCUAGAUGCAUGAAAGAUAAUUAAUCCGAGAAGAGUGUGAACUUCACCCCCUCUAACCGGGUGAAAUAAUGGUGAAAAUGGCAUUCAGGAUUAUUCUUCACCACUUUUACCGUGAGACCUGAGUCCGAGCCAACAACCUGUACACAGCAUCCAGUCGAAGCGAUCAACUGCCUUUUCUCCCAGGAGUGUGAAAUCACUCAAUGUGGGGUGAGCAUGGAGAGAGAUCCUGUCCAAAACUUCUCAUGCUGCUGGUGUACUGGUAGGAAAAUGGACAAGACAUAAUGAACUGUAAAGGACAGUGACAUUAUCAAGGGCCAUCCACUUUGAACAUGUGCCAUUAAAAACAUGAACUGAAACACUACC